AAAAAGUUUUAUUUUAACUUAUAAAUUAGGUGUUAUUUUUUAUUAUAUGUAAAUUAUUUUAUAGAAGAAUUUUACAGUGAUUAAAAUUAUAUAUUAAAGAAAUUUAGAUUUAGAAAUAAUAAGUAUUAUUAACAAAAUUUGUGCCAGCAGUUGCGGUUAUACAAAUAAUAUAAUUUAAUUUUAUUGAUAAAAAUUAAUUGUAAAUAAUAAUUUUAAUAUAGAAUUUAAUAAGUGAAAUUUUAAAUUUUAUUUAAAAAUUUAAAAUUGUUGAUGAAGUUUAAAAAUUUAAAUUAUAAACUAGGAUUAGAUACCCUAUUAUUUUAAAUGUAAUUAAAAGUAUUGAAUUAGUAAUAGUUAUGUUCUUGAAAAUUAAAAAUUUUGGCGGUAUUUUAGUCUUUUCAGAGGAACCUGUUCUGUAAAUGAUAAUCCACGAUUUAAUUUACUUAUAUUAUUAGUUUGUAUAUCAUCGUAAUUAAAUAUUUUAUUAAAAUUAUAAAUAUUUAGAAUUUAAUAUUAUAAAAUUUAUCAGAUCAAGGUGCAAUUUAUAUAUAAGAAGUAAUGGGUUACAAUAAAAAUAUUUUUGGAUGAUUUUUAUUAUUAAAAAUUUAAAUUUGGAUUUGAUAGUAAUUUUAAUAAAUUAAUUAAAAUGAUUUUAGCUCUAAAAUAUGCACAUAUCGCCCGUCGCUUUCAUUUAAUAUGAAAUAAGUCGUAACAAAGUAGAUUUACUGGAAAGUGAAUCUAGAUUACA